rnacentral:rRNA from 1 species
GCAAUCCAUGAGUAAAGUGGCGCACGGGUGAGUAACACGUGACUAACCUACCCUGGAGUGGGGGAUAACUGAGGGAAACCUUAGCUAAUACCGCAUAAUACCUACGGGUCAAAGGAGCAAUUCGCUCUGGGAGGGGGUCGCGGCCGAUUAGUUAGUUGGCGGGGUAAUGGCCCACCAAGACGAUGAUCGGUAUCCGGCCUGAGAGGGCGCACGGACACACUGGAACUGAAACACGGUCCAGACUCCUACGGGAGGCAGCAGUGGGGAAUUUUGCGCAAUGGGGGAAACCCUGACGCAGCAACGCCGCGUGGAGGAUGAAGACCUUCGGGUCGUAAACUCCUUUCGAUCGGGACGAUAAUGACGGUACCGGAAGAAGAAGCCCCGGCUAACUUCGUGCCAGCAGCCGCGGUAAUACGAGGGGGGCGAGCGUUGUUCGGAAUUAUUGGGCGUAAAGGGUGCGUAGGCGGUUUGGUAAGUCUUGUGUGAAAUCUACAGGCUCAACUUGUAGUCUGCACGAGAAACUGCCGGGCUUGAGUAUGGGAGAGGUGAGUGGAAUUCCUGGUGUAGCGGUGAAAUGCGUAGAUAUCANGAGGAACACCUGUGGCGAAAGCGGCUCACUGGACCAUAACUGACGCUGAUGCACGAAAGCUAGGGGAGCAAACAGGAUUAGAUACCCUGGUAGUCCUAGCCCUAAACGAUGACUGCUUGGUGUGACGGGUACCCAAUCCCGCCCUGCCGUAGCUAACGCGUUUAAGCAGUCCGCCUGGGGAGUACGGUCGCAAGGCUGAAACU